rnacentral:rRNA from 1 species
GAUGAACGCUGGCGGCGUGCCUAAUACAUGCAAGUCGAGCGAACAUACUAGGAGCUUGCUCCUUUGACGUUAGCGGCGGAAGGGUGAGUAACACGUGGAUAACCUACCUAUCAGACUGGGAUAACUUCGGGAAACCGGGGCUAAUACCGGAUAAUAUAUUGAACCGCAUGGUUCAAUAGUGAACGACGGUUUUGCUGUCACUUAUAGAUGGAUCGGCGCCGCAUUAGCUAGUUGGUAAGGUAACGGCUUACCAAGGCGACGAUGCGUAGCCGACCUGAGAGGUGGAUCGCCCACUUUGGAAUGGGAACAGGGCCAGGCCUCUUACGGGAGGAAGAAUGGGGGAAUCUUCCGCAUGGGGGGAAGGCCGGACGGAGCAACGCGGGUGGAGUGAGGAGGGUCUUCGUAUCUAAAGACUCUGUUAUUAGGGAGGAACAAAUGUGUAAGUAAAUAUGCACGUCUUGACGGUACUUAAUCAGAAAGCCACGGCUAACUACGUG